UGUUGACACCUUGAAAAAGCACAAACAUGAAGUUUUAACUGGAGUUGACGGUUGCUAUGGGGCCGUUGCUAAGGAGUCUGUUAAACUGCAUAGCUAAUCAGCAGCAGAAGCCUCAUGUCUUCUGACCACAUCUGGCUGCUUCAGAGACCUCUGCCGCCCAAAACUUUCCCUCCAGCGGUGAAAGAUCUUCCAGCUCCCAGACAUCCAGGAAGUGAAUCAUUUGAAGGUUCCUGGAUGUCACCAGUGAGUCAGAGACCUCCAGAAUAAAUCCAGCGGCGGCACAUGAUAAUGAUGUCAGUCCAGCAGUAGGAGUGAGGAGGGGUUUUAUUAGAAAAGUGAUGGAAAAUCA
ensembl:lncRNA